ACGGGUGAGUAACGCGUGGGCAAUCUGCCCUCUAGCCUGGGAUAACAGUUCGAAAGGACUGCUAACACCGGAUAUUAUGAUUCCGAGGCAUCUUGGGAUUAUGAAAGUUUACACUAGAGGAUGAGCCCGCGUCCCAUUAGCUAGUUGGUGAGGUAACGGCCCACCAAGGCGACGAUGGGUAGCCGACCUGAGAGGGUGAACGGCCACACUGGGACUGAGACACGGCCCAGACUCCUACGGGAGGCAGCAGUAGGGAAUUUUCCGCAAUGGGCGAAAGCCUGACGGAGCAACGCCGCGUGAGGGAUGAAGGUCUUCGGAUCGUAAACCUUUGUCUAGAGGGACGAUAAUGACGGUACCUCUGGAGGAAGCCACGGCUAACUACGUGCCAGCAGCCGCGGUAAUACGUAGGUGGCAAGCGUUGUCCGGAAUUACUGGGCGUAAAGGGCGUGUAGGCGGCUUUUUAAGUUAGACGUGAAAUCUCUGGGCUUAACCUAGAAAUUGCGUUUAAAACUGGAAGGCUUGAGGAUCGGAGAGGGCAGUGGAAUUCCCAGUGUAGCGGUGAAAUGCGUAGA
rnacentral:rRNA from 1 species